rnacentral:lncRNA from 1 species
AUUUACUUCAUCAUCCCUGUAGAAGCCUCUAGUCUCAACCAACCUGCGACAUGAUCUUGGUGAUUUGUUCAGCCUUCCUCCUUUAUCAAUUUUUUUUUUCUGAGAUGGAGUUUCACUUGUCACCCAGGCUGGACUGCAAUGGCAUGAUGGCUCACUACAACCUUGCCUCCCUGGUUCGAGCCAUUCUCCUGCCUCAGCCUCCUGCCCUAAAGUGAUCCUCCCACCUCAGCCUUUCAAAGUGCUGGGAUUACAGAUGUGAGCCAUUGCACCCACCUUUUUUUCUCAUUUUGAAAAUAUAAAAAAUUAAAACAGAAAUAGGGGGAAAAUGGAUCUCACCCAGAGGUAACAGGCUCCAAGAACAGUGGCUCUAAAAAGUCUUCUCUGGAUGAGUGAUGGACUUUUCAUUUGUCUCCUUGUUGGAGGGGGCGGGGGCAGUGAGUGUGUUUGCAGUUGUGCUUGUAUCCUAUUACGUGGGAUUCCUUUUGAUGUGUGGGAUGACAGGUGUGUGGCAUUGAGGGACAGAUGCUGGUAGUGUCUUGGGUACAGUUCCCUGGAGCAGAACCUGAGAAGGGGAUGUUUGUGCAAGACAUUUAUCAAUGGAGUGCACUCACAAGAAACAUGUAGGGGUCGGUGGGAGCCAUAUUGGGAAGGGAGGAAAGAAAAAUGAAAAAGGAUGUGGUCUCCGAUGCAGCUGGGCUUCAGCUUGAUCCCAUGGGGCCUCUGGGGAAUAAACUGUACCACAGGGUCUGCUCAGUCUUGGGGCAUGAAUGCAAGGUGGUUUCUUUGUUUGUUUGUUUGUUUUGUGUGUGUGUGUUUUCCAUAAAGCAGUCAGUUAUUGGCCCAGGACUACAGGAGAGGAUACAAAGAACCUAGGUCCCUUCAUGGGGAGGGACUUCCCUAUCUCCCAGGGACACUGGCUCCAGUGUUCAGUCACCUGCCCAAGAUGCCUAGGCCUGCAGGAGGGACCAGAGGCAGAUGAUGUAGACAAUGAUGAUGUCACAAAGAGAAGUGAGAAAUAAUGCAAGCAGCUCCAUUCCCCACGGCAACUGUGCAGAGAGGCUUGCAGGUCCAAACCACUGGUAGCAGCCCCUGGUAUAUCCAGGACAUCAGCACAUAGAACCAGUGAAAGGGUCCUCCCUCAUAGUGACGCAUGUCAUAGACUCAGAUUUAUACAAACAAAUGCUGAGCAAACCAUGAAGAGUCUCUGGUAUUUUCAACAAUAUCAUCACAGAGGAACUGUAUUGAUUUCCUUGAACUUUUCAAAUGUAGAGGAGCCUUUAGAAGGAAGCCUUGAGCAUGAGGACAGACCCCCCUCAUCCAACCACCACCUGACUCUGUGUGAACCUGGAACUGUUAGAAUGUCUGUGCUGUGAUAAAAGGUCAUCUCCCUACAAUGUUAUGAUACAGACCUCAAACCUACAAACAUGAGGAACUUCUGCCUCCAGGUUAACUGCUUACCCACUGUACAAGACACGUUACACACAGUCCAGGAGGCGGAGCUUCUGAGAUAUCUAGAAACAGCUUAGAGGCAAAAUGACAAAAUAAAGC